rnacentral:rRNA from 1 species
AACUGACGCUGAGGCUCGAAAGUAUGGGUAGCAAACAGGAUUAGAUACCUGGUAGUCCAUACCGUAAACGAUGAAUGCUAAGUGUUGGAGGGUUUCCCCUUUCAGUGCUGCAGCUAACGCAUUAAGCAUUCCGCUGGGGAGUACGGCCGCAAGGCUGAAACUCAAAGGAAUUGACGGGGGCCCGCACAAGCGGUGGAGCAUGUGGUUUAAUUCGAAGCUACGCGAAGAACCUUACCAGGUCUUGACAUACUAUGCAAAUCUAAGAGAUUAGACGUUCCCUUCGGGGACAUGGAUACAGGUGGUGCAUGGUUGUCGUCAGCUCGUGUCGUGAGAUGUUGGGUUAAGUCCCGCAACGAGCGCAACCCUUAUUAUCAGUUGCCAGCAUUAAGUUGGGCACUCUGGUGAGACUGCCGGUGACAAACCGGAGGAAGGUGGGGAUGACGUCAAAUCAUCAUGCCCCUUAUGACCUGGGCUACACACGUGCUACAAUGGAUGGCACAACGAGUUGCGAACUCGCGAGAGUAAGCUAAUCUCUUAAAGCCAUUCUCAGUCCGGAUUGUAGGCUGCAACUCGCCUACAUGAAGUCGGAAUCGCUAGUAAUCGCGGAUCAGCAUGCCGCGGUGAAUACGUUCCCGGGCCUUGUACACACCGCCCGUCACACCAUGAGAGUUUGUAACACCCAAAGUCGGUGGGGUAACCUUUAGGAACCAGCCGCCUAGGUGGGACAGAUGAUUAGGGUGAAGUCGUAACAAGGUAACCA